rnacentral:tRNA from 1 species
CGCGGCGGGGCCGUUGGGGGAGAUCGCGGGGGUGUUGCCGGUGCCCUGGUCGGCGAUCCUGGCGCCGUUGCCCUUCUGUUCCAUGCCGACCGUCGCGCC